AUUGAACGCUGGCGGCAGGCCUAACACAUGCAAGUCGAGCGAGCGGCGGACGGGUGAGUAAUGUAUGGGGAUCUGCCCGAUAGAGGGGGAUAACACUUGGAAACAGGUGCUAAUACCGCAUACUGAUGGAUGGACCCGCGGUGCAUUAGCUAGUUGGUGGGGUAACGGCUCACCAAGGCGACGAUCCCUAGCUGGUCUGAGAGGAUGACCAGCCACACUGGAACUGAGACACGGUCCAGACUCCUACGGGAGGCAGCAGUGGGGAAUAUUGCACAAUGGGCGCAAGCCUGAUGCAGCCAUGCCGCGUGUAUGAAGAAGGCCUGCGGGUUGUAAAGUACUUUCAGCGGGGAGGCGUUACCCGCAGAAGAAGCACCGGCUAACUCCGUGCCAGCAGCCGCGGUAAUAC
rnacentral:rRNA from 1 species